UCGUGUUUCGCAAACACUGUCGCGGCUUUUUCCUGAAGCCUAAUACCACCUCUUUUUCUCGAAGCAGAGGCAGAGUGAGCUACGGCUACCACACAACAACGGUCGACUUUUUCAGCUCCUAAGCUUCUCUGUUCCGUACGUUUCCAUAACACUCGCACGCAAUUCGUUCCAAUUCCAUGUCCCAAAAAGCUUAACAAAACAGGAAUCAAGCUUCAUGUAACAUUCACAAAGAAGCUGCACUGAGAAUAUGAUCCUACCAGUGGUGAAGUUGGGGACCCUCGCUCUCAAAACUAUUUGCAAACCCAUUGCCAAUCGGCUUAAAAAGGAGGCUGGCUUGCACCCCAAGUUCAGACACUUCAUUAUCGACUUCGCCCAGGCAAAUCAUCGAUUCACAACAAAAAUGCAAAGACGCAUUUAUGGUCAGGCAACUAAUGCUGCAAUACACCCACUUAACGAGGAGAAAGCUGUACAAGCUGCUGCAGAUCUACUUGGGGAACUCUUUAUCUUCACGGUUGCUGGAGCUGCUGUUAUUUUUGAGGUGCAAAGAAGUUCCAGAUCAGAAGCAAGAAAGGAGGAACUGCGCAAGCAGGAAUUACAGGCAAUGAAGCAAAGAGAUGACGAUUUGACUAAAGAAGUUGGGCUUCUUAGAAACAAGAUUGAGGAGCUAGAAAAACUUGCCAAGGGACGAGGACUCGCUGGUAUUUUCAACUUCAGGCAUGCCCAUACCAUUGAAGAUGAUAAAUCAAAAAACACAUGAUCAUUGCAAAAAGUACAGAAUUAAGUAAUCUUGUAAGCAUCAACUUCCUUAGAAAAUCACAACAUUCCAGAGAACCCAAUCAUUCAAAGGAAGGCUUGGGGUAACUAAUGUCACAACUAUUCAAACAAAACAGGCUCUGAUUAUUUUGGAGUUUAUUAAUAGAACCCCUUCAAACUUGAAGAAAAAAAUCAGAAUAAUUUUUACAGAUUUACUCGAAAUUUUAUAGAAGGAAGUUUGUAUGUUGUAGUUCUAUGCAAAUUAUACAGUUUCUGCUGAAUUUUUUUCUUCUAGACCAUUUAGGUAGAUAGGAGUCCACACUUUUUAAUGCUCAAUUGUUUCUUAUGCAACAACUGGUCAACAAGAUGCCUUAGAGCAUUAGCAUCAAAUGUUCUAAAAAUAUGUUAUUUUAACAUAUCAAAAAAUUAGAACUUUAUUAUUUUAGCAUAGUAUUUUGGACAAUACACGGUAUAUCUCAUCUUCAAUUAUUGGGCA